rnacentral:rRNA from 1 species
AAGACCUUGCGCUUUUGGAGCGGCCGAUGCCUGAUUAGCUUGUUGGUAAGGUAAAAGCUUACCAAGGCUUCGAUCAGUAGCUGGUCUGAGAGGACGACCAGCCACACUGGGACUGAGACACGGCCCAGACUCCUACGGGAGGCAGCAGUGGGGAAUUUUGGACAAUGGGGGCAACCCUGAUCCAGCCAUGCCGCGUGAGUGAAGAAGGCCUUCGGGUUGUAAAGCUCUUUCAGCCGGAACGAAACGGUUACGGAUAACACCCGUGACUACUGACGGUACCGGAAGAAGAAGCACCGGCUAACUACGUGCCAGCAGCCGCGGUAAUACGUAGGGUGCGAGCGUCAAUCGGAAUUACUGGGCGUAGAGCGUGCGCAGGUGGUUUUGUAAGUCAGAUGUGAAAGCCCCGGGCUCAACCUGGGAACU